CAAUUGGGAAGAAACCAGCCAAUUUGUUAAACUAAUAAAUAAUUGGUUUGAAUUGUUUUCUUUCAGUUUUGUGUCUUUAUAUUCACUUAGAUUAGUCGUAUAUAGGAAAGGACGAUUCCUAACUUCCUCUAUCAAUAAUUCUUUUCUUUCUAUAUUGGAUGCCAUCUUCGUGCACAUGGCACAAAAACGAAAAUACAUACAUAACCAAAUGCCUCCUUUCUUUUGGCUAUUGCAAUGAUGUAUCCCUGCGACCACGACAAUAUUCAACCGAUUGAAUACUGUCAUUAGUCUCAGUGACGAAUUGUGAAGCGAGGCCUGAUGGGAUUGUUUCCAUAGCAACGGUCGCUGGCUGUAGUUGUAGUCGCAAUCACUGGUCAGUGUGAAUCCGGCCUAAGAGUUACGGAAUUGAAUUGCCAUCUUCCCAAAGAAACUUGUCUAUAUGAUGCCAUCUAAAUUAAUAUCACUAAUCCAAUUUAAGAAUUAUAGAAUUCUCUUAUUGAUGAUUUAUAAUUAGCAAAAAAUUAUUGUAAUAAUUUUUUACUGAUUUUAAAUCAUUGAUAAAACAUGAUGAUGAUAUGAAUUGUUUUAGCUUUAACCCAUUCACUGUCAUGCCCUAUUCACUUGACUGAUUGUGAAAUGCCAAGCAGAUUUAAAUUAAGCUUAAACAGAUGUUUGAAUAAUUUAAACAUUUCUUUAUUUCUGUUUUUAUGCAAUAAUAAUGAUUUUUUUAUAUGUUAUUACUCAAUAUAUUUAUUUUUAUCAGACAACUUAAUUUUUGUUUUAAUUAUUUGUGACAAAAUUAAUAGAAAUAUGGGCUCUCAAAAAAAAAUAUCAUUUAUUAAAAUAAUUUUAAUUUAAUCUGUUUUAUUAGUCUCUAUUCUACAGUAAAUAUUUAUACAUAAUGAAAAAUAAUUUAUUUUAAAUGUAUAUUUAUU
rnacentral:lncRNA from 1 species